GUGGUCUCAUUAUAUUACAAUUAUUAUGUUACAUGUGUCGAAAUGUUGGAUGUUUGCUAAAUGUAGUUUGUGGAGGGAUGGGUGGUCCCAUUUCAAUAGUAUUACAUGUAUAGAAGAGUUUGAAUAUGUUAUAGUUUAUUGAGGGACGGGUGGUUCUAUACCUAUCAUGUUUAAAUGUGUUAUUUGUAUCAUAUUUCAGGUAUGAUUUUAGGAUGUUAUAGUAGAGGUCAUGUUGAAAUUUUGACACUUUUUUGUUUGAGCUUGCGCAAUGUCAUUGCUAUCGAGGUAAUUGAAUUAAUUAUGGUUAAGUUUGUUGACUUAAUUUUGUUGUGUAAAAAUAUAAUCCUAUUGAGAAUAUAUUUUGUGCACAAGUUGGGAACUAUUAGGAUAUUAAUGGAAGUGUGUAGUAGAUUUACAGCAAUAGAAGUGGGUGAUAGAGUUAGAGUCAUGGAAGCAAUGGAUGCUCAUCAACAUUCAUGCCUUGUUGUAUGCAUAGUGUCCAAGACAACCUGGAUCAACGUAAUGUCUUUCUUAUCCCAAAGAUGUCGACAAUUAUGAAUGCAACUAAUUGGUGGCUGAGCAUCGUUGUUGGGGUUGGUGUGUACGGAAUAUGUUUAAUUCUGUAAUUCUGUAAUUUGUAUUUGAGAAUACUAGUAUAUUCUAAAUUAAUAUAUUAGCUUCCUUGUUCAUGUUUAAUA